AUUGAACGCUGGCGGCAGGCCUAACACAUGCAAGUCGAGCGGAUGAAGGGAGCUUGCUCCUGGAUUCAGCGGCGGACGGGUGAGUAAUGCCUAGGAAUCUGCCUGGUAGUGGGGGAUAACGUCCGGAAACGGGCGCUAAUACCGCAUACGUCCUGAGGGAGAAAGUGGGGGAUCUUCGGACCUCACGCUAUCAGAUGAGCCUAGGUCGGAUUAGCUAGUUGGUGGGGUAAAGGCCUACCAAGGCGACGAUCCGUAACUGGUCUGAGAGGAUGAUCAGUCACACUGGAACUGAGACACGGUCCAGACUCCUACGGGAGGCAGCAGUGGGGAAUAUUGGACAAUGGGCGAAAGCCUGAUCCAGCCAUGCCGCGUGUGUGAAGAAGGUCUUCGGAUUGUAAAGCACUUUUAGUUGGGAGGAAGGGCAGUAAGUGAAUACCUUGCUGUUUUGACGUUACCAACAGAAUAAGCACCGGCUAACUUCGUG
rnacentral:rRNA from 1 species